rnacentral:rRNA from 1 species
AGAGUUUGAUCAUGGCUCAGAUUGAACGCUGGCGGAAUGCUUUACACAUGCAAGUCGAGCGGCAGCGCGGGGCAACCUGGCGGCGAGCGGCGAACGGGUGAGUAACAUAUCGGAAGUACCCAGUCUGGGGGGAUAACUAUCCGAAAGGAUAGCUAAUACCGCAUACGACCUGAGGGUAAAGGGGGGGAUCGCAAGACCUCUCGCGAUUGGAGCGGCCGAUAUCGGAUUAGCUAGUUGGUGAGGUAAAGGCUCACCAAGGCGACGAUCCGUAGCUGGUCUGAGAGGACGACCAGCCACACUGGAACUGAGACACGGUCCAGACUCCUACGGGAGGCAGCAGUGGGGAAUUUUGGACAAUGGGGGCAACCCUGAUCCAGCCAUUCCGCGUGAGUGAAGAAGGCCUUCGGGUUGUAAAGCUCUUUCGGCAGGAACGAAACGGUGAGCUCUAACAUAGCUUGCUAAUGACGGUACCUGAAGAAGAAGCACCGGCUAACUACGUG